rnacentral:rRNA from 1 species
CUACGGGCCGCUGCAGUGAGGAAUAUUGCGCAAUGGGGGCAACCCUGACGCAGCGACGCCGCGUGGAUGAUGAAGGCCUUCGGGUCGUAAAAUCCUGUCAGAUGGAAAGAAGUGCGAGGUGGUUAAUACCCAUUUCGUUUGACGGUACCAUCAGAGGAAGCACCGGCUAACUCCGUGCCAGCAGCCGCGGUAAUACGGAGGGUGCAAGCGUUGUUCGGAAUUACUGGGCGUAAAGCGCGCGUAGGCGGUUGGUUAAGUCAGAUGUGAAAGCCCACGGCUCAACCGUGGACGUGCAUUUGAAACUGGCAGACUUGAGUAUUGGAGGGGGUGGUGGAAUUCCCGGUGUAGAGGUGAAAUUCGUAGAUAUCGGGAGGAAUACCGGUGGCGAAGGCGACCACCUGGCCAAAUACUGACGCUGAGGUGCGAAAGCGUGGGGAGCAAACAGGAUUAGAGACCCUGGUAGUC